rnacentral:misc_RNA from 1 species
AGCAGCCGCGGUAAUUCCAGCUCCAAUAGCGUAUAUUAAAGUUGUUGCAGUUAAAAAGCUCGUAGUUGAAUUUCGGGAUUGACACAUCGGUCGUGCCUUAAGGGGUAUGAACUGGUGUAGUCAAUUUCUCACCUUCUGGAGAACCGCGAUGCCCUUAAUUGGGUGUCGCGGGGAACCAGGACCUUUACUUUGAAAAAAUUAGAGUGUUUAAAGCAGGCAUUUUGCUUGAAUACAUUAGCAUGGAAUAAUAAAAUAGGACGGCAUGAUUCUAUUUUGUUGGUCUCUAGGAUCACCGUAAUGAUUAAUAGGGAUAGUUGGGGGCAUUAGUAUUCAAUUGUCAGAGGUGAAAUUCUUGGAUUUAUUGAAGACUAACUACUGCGAAAGCAUUUGCCAAGGAUGUUUUCAUUAAUCAAGAACGAAAGUUAGGGGAUCGAAGACGAUCAGAUACCGUCGUAGUCUUAACCAUAAACUAUGCCGACUAGGAAUCAGACGAUGUUAAUUUUUUAAUGACUCGUUUGGC